GAUGUACUCCCUCUGUCCGGAAAUACUUGUCGUAAAAAUGGAUACAAAUGGAUGUAUCUAGAACUAAAAUACAUAUAGGUACAUCCAUUCUUCGAACAAAUAUUUCCGGACGGAGGGAGUAUGUA
rnacentral:pre_miRNA from 1 species